AUUGAACGCUGGCGGCAGGCCUAACACAUGCAAGUCGAGCGGAUGAAGGGAGCUUGCUCCUGGAUUCAGCGGCGGACGGGUGAGUAAUGCCUAGGAAUCUGCCUGGUAGUGGGGGAUAACGUCCGGAAACGGGCGCUAAUACCGCAUACGUCCUGAGGGAGAAAGUGGGGGAUCUUCGGACCUCACGCUAUCAGAUGAGCCUAGGUCGGAUUAGCUAGUUGGUGGGGUAAAGGCCUACCAAGGCGACGAUCCGUAACUGGUCUGAGAGGAUGAUCAGUCACACUGGAACUGAGACACGGUCCAGACUCCUACGGGAGGCAGCAGUGGGGAAUAUUGGACAAUGGGCGAAAGCCUGAUCCAGUCAUGCCACGUGUGUGAAGAAGGUCUUCGGAUUGUAAAGCACUUUAAGUUGGGAGGAAGGGCAGUAAGUUAAUACCUUGCUGUUUUGACGUUACCAACAGAAUAAGCACCGGCUAACUUCGUG
rnacentral:rRNA from 1 species